CUCUGACCUCCAAGGGUACCAGGGCUCCAGCAAGUGAAGCACAAUGUGAGCAAUGCUGCUUGUGAAAGAUGAGCCUUCUCAAAAGAACUCCUUGGUACCACUUCUGCACAUGCGAGACCUUCCUGCCCUUCCAGUAAUUCCACUGAGUAUGAGGAAGGAAGAGACAAGAAGCCUGUUUUCCUGCUCUGUAAACUGAGAAGUCCCUGUGUUGAUUUCUGACAGCUCAUUAGCUGAAAUAGGGGAGUCAAGAGCCUGGCUGCAAGGAACUUCACAUGAGGA